AUUGAACGCUGGCGGCAGGCCUAACACAUGCAAGUCGAACGAGUGGCGGACGGGUGAGUAAUGUCUGGGAAACUGCCUGAUGGCGGGGGAUAACUACUGGAAACGGUAGCUAAUACCGCAUACCAUCAGAGGGGCCCAGAUGGGAUUAGCUAGUUGGUGGGGUAACGGCUCACCAAGGCGACGAUCCCUAGCUGGUCUGAGAGGAUGACCAGCCACACUGGAACUGAGACACGGUCCAGACUCCUACGGGAGGCAGCAGUGGGGAAUAUUGGACAAUGGGCGCAAGCCUGAUGCAGCCAUGCCGCGUGUAGGAAGAAGGCCUUCGGGUUGUAAAGUACUUUCGGCAGGGAGGCGUUACCCGCAGAAGAAGCACCGGCUAACUCCGUGCCAGCAGCCGCGGUAAUUC
rnacentral:rRNA from 1 species